rnacentral:tRNA from 1 species
AUAUCACUAGUUUAAUUUAGAACAUUAUCUUUUGAUGAUAAAAGAAAGAAAACUUUUCUUGUAAUAUA